rnacentral:rRNA from 1 species
UACUAGCGGUCCAAGUCGCAGCCACUAUUAUUGGGUCUAAAACAUCCGUAGCUUGUUUGAUAAGUUCUCUGUGAAAUUCUAUUUCUCAAAGAUAGAGAGUGCAGGGAAUACUGUCAAGCUAGAGACUGGGAGACGUAAGGAGUACGUUUGAAGUAGUAGUAAAAUACGUUAAGCUCAAACGGACUAACAAUGGCGAAGGCACCUUACGAGAACAGUUCUGACUGUGAGGGAUGAAGGCUAGGGUCGCAAA